rnacentral:rRNA from 2 species
GGUCUGCAACUGACGCUGAGGCUCGAAAGCAUGGGUAGCGAACAGGAUUAGAUACCUGGUAGUCCAUGCCGUAAACGAUGAGUGCUAGGUGUUGGAGGGUUUCCGCCCUUCAGUGCCGGAGCUAACGCAUUAAGCACUCCGCCUGGGGAGUACGACCGCAAGGUUGAAACUCAAAGGAAUUGACGGGGGCCCGCACAAGCGGUGGAGCAUGUGGUUUAAUUCGAAGCUACGCGAAGAACCUUACCAGGUCUUGACAUCUUGCGCUAACCUAAGAGAUUAGGCGUUCCCUUCGGGGACGCAAUGACAGGUGGUGCAUGGUCGUCGUCAGCUCGUGUCGUGAGAUGUUGGGUUAAGUCCCGCAACGAGCGCAACCCUUGUUACUAGUUGCCAGCAUUUAGUUGGGCACUCUAGUGAGACUGCCGGUGACAAACCGGAGGAAGGUGGGGACGACGUCAGAUCAUCAUGCCCCUUAUGACCUGGGCUACACACGUGCUACAAUGGACGGUACAACGAGUUGCGAACUCGCGAGAGUAAGCUAAUCUCUUAAAGCCGUUCUCAGUUCGGACUGUAGGCUGCAACUCGCCUACACGAAGUCGGAAUCGCUAGUAAUCGCGGAUCAGCAUGCCGCGGUGAAUACGUUCCCGGGCCUUGUACACACCGCCCGUCACACCAUGGAAGUUUGCAAUGCCCCAAGUCGGUGGCCUAACCAUUGG